UCACACGCAAUGAACGGGAGCAGUAGAUGAUGAAGGUGUGCAGAGAGCUGCGGGCUGGUGCAACGCAGUCACCUGAUAGGCAUUGAAUCUCGCCCGGGAGCGGAGCGGCGGAAACAGGAAGUACGCCGCAACGGAAGUCCCCGUUACCGGACAUCUGUAUUUGCCGGACUAUACCCGUAUGGGGAUGAGCCGGAUACGGGGUGAGCUGGGCGCAGCUUGCGGUUUAUCAGGAAGGUAAGCCGGAUGCGUCAACAAGAGUGGUACCGCGGUGGGGUGACCCGCCGUCUCUUAU
rnacentral:ncRNA from 1 species